AUUGAACGCUGGCGGCAGGCCUAACACAUGCAAGUCGAGCGAGCGGCGGACGGGUGAGUAAUGUCUGGGAAACUGCCUGAUGGAGGGGGAUAACUACUGGAAACGGUAUCUAAUACCGCAUACCCUCAGAUAUGCCCAGAUGUGAUUAGCUCGUAGGUGGGGUAACGGCUAACCUAGGCGACGAUCCCUAGCUGGUCUGAGAGGAUGACCAGCCACACGGGAACUGAGACACGGCCCAGACUCCUACGGGAGGCAGCAGUGGGGAAUAUUGCACAAUGGGCGCAAGCCUGAUGCAGCCAUGCCGCGUGUGUGAAGAAGGCCUUCGGGUUGUAAAGUACUUUCAGCGGGGAGGCGUUACCCGCAGAAGAAGCACCGGCUAACUCCGUGCCAGCAGCCGCGGUAAUUC
rnacentral:rRNA from 1 species